UGGCCAUGGGAGGUGUGAGAACAAUCAGGGGUAUGCACAUAAACUAUGGUUUUCUUGUGCAGUGACUUGGGCAGAAGGUCCAAUUUCUUGCCUUCAACCCGAAUCCACCAUGACUAUGAACGUAUCACAUUCUUCAGGUAAGAACUCAUUUUCAAUGUGCGCUUGUCAACUCUUCACGCAUUCUCCUUCCCGAAGUACGAAGUUUCUUACGGUAAAAUGGUGAAGAACACGACUCUGAAUCCGUACUCCAACCAUCAAGAAAUGCGACAAACUCUCCAUAAUGCUCUACAAGCGAGCUCCGAUGCGAACGGAUUACAGCGCCGCUAACUCAACGUGAUUAAUGGCCUCCAAAUCCGAAAUUAGAUCCAACUGAUUCGAAGUUUUUUUAUUUCAUUUUCAUGCGUGCGUGGAAUUUAAAGAAGACGACACUUAUGUGAUGCCAGGAAACUUACCUAUUCGGCGUUUCAACGCGAAAGAUUCAGGCAUGCUUGUGGCGCUUUCUUGGCUUGGGGUUUUGGAAUGCAUUUGGACUUAUGGUUUUCAUUGACCAUUGGAAUCGAUUUAAGCUGCUAGGAUAUGGCUUGUAUGCUAACUAGGUGGAAUUGGAAAGCUUGGAAUGUAAAUGGCCCAUGGGGAAAAUGAACUCGGGUUGUUUAUUGUAAUUUUUGUAAUUAUUGUAUCGGUUUGAGUUAAUGGUUGUAAUUGGAUUGGAGAUUGUAUGUGGUAAUUUUGGAUAUUUUAUAAUGAUUUAUGUUAUGAAUUUGAAAUUAUUGUAA